UAAGUCAAAACAGAAUACCCCCUCAAGAAAGAAACAUCAUCAAUCAAAGAGAAGAGCAGUAAUACGAACAAGAAGAAGAAAAAGAAGAAAGGGAAAACCUGAACUGACAUCACAAAAGUCUUUUUUAUCAGUGUAUAUAUAUCAUCUUAAUAAACAUUUUAAUUCA